GAUGAACGCUAGCUACAGGCUUAACACAUGCAAGUCGAGGGGAAACGACAUCGAAAGCUUGCUUUUGAUGGGCGUCGACCGGCGCACGGGUGAGUAACGCGUAUCCAACCUGCCCAUCACUUGGGAAUAACCUUGCGAAAGUAAGACUAAUACCCAAUGAUAUCCCACGAAGGCAUCGGAAUAGGAUUAAAGAUUUAUCGGUGAUGGAUGGGGAUGCGUCUGAUUAGCUUGUUGGCGGGGUAACGGCCCACCAAGGCAACGAUCAGUAGGGGUUCUGAGAGGAAGGUCCCCCACAUUGGAACUGAGACACGGUCCAAACUCCUACGGGAGGCAGCAGUGAGGAAUAUUGGUCAAUGGGCGAGAGCCUGAACCAGCCAAGUAGCGUGCAGGAAGACGGCCCUAUGGGUUGUAAACUGCUUUUAUAAGGGAAUAAAGUGGGUCACGUGUGACUUUUUGCAUGUACCUUAUGAAUAAGGACCGGCUAAUUCCGUG
rnacentral:rRNA from 1 species